GCUGGAGAGAAUGAGCUUGGAGCCGCAGGGCUUAAUCCCGCGCGGCUCAGAGAUGGGUUUCUGGACUCGCGAAGCAGCUGCAACAAGGCAUCACUCACUGUAUAAGUAUUUCCAUUUCUGAGAGCAAAAGGAAGAACUUAAGCGGGCGGCACUUGGAGUGUAAAUUGCUUUGUAGUAUUUAAAGGCAGAAUGGAUCCUGGGCAGCCGAGCUGCAACAAACCGGCAGGACUUCCUGUGAAAUCAUGACCACCAUGUGCUCUUUCAGCCUCUAUCAGUUCCUACCUCUAAGCACCUGAGAGCCAAAGCAAACCACAGGAAACCACAGACUCAAACUAAACGUCAGCUUUUCCCGGCUCUCAAGCCUGCUGGUCCCUGAACUAAAACUCACAUUAUCAACUCUACUGGUUCUUAGGCCUUUGGAGUCAGACUGGAACUACAGCAUUGACUCUUCCGGAACUCCAGCUUACUGACUACAGAUCUUGGAACUUUUCAGCUUCCACAACCAUAAUGAAAGCCAAGCAUAUUCCAUCAUUUCCUAAAACCAAGAUAGAGCACAUAUGGGAACUUGUGAAAUAAGGAUGCCCUGCGGUUGUUUUCAGGACUGAAGACAACAGCUCCACGAUGAAACCAAAGCACAAAGAGAGAAAGAAAAGAAAGAGAAAAAAGGAAGAAAGAAAAGAAAGAUGAAAGAAAGAAAGAGAAAGAAGAGAGAGGGAGAGAGAGAAAGAAAGAGAAGGAAAGAAAGAAGGAAGAAGAAAGAAAGAAAGAAAGAAAGAAAGAAAGAAAGAAAGAAAGAAAGAAAGAAAGAAAGAAAGAAAGAAAGAAAAAAGGAAGGAAGGAAAAGAAACACAUGGAAAGUGCUUCUUUGGACCUUUUAAGUUGCAUUAUCCCAUAAAAUGUGGUGGAUUCAAUGUUGUAUGGCCUGUAAAACUAAGUAAUGAAGGCUGAUAUGUACCCACCUGGCUCUGUCUUGGGAUCACACAACUUGGGAGCCAAAACAGGUGAGGAUGGGGAGGUGUCAAACAAGACCUAACCUCUCAACAAUCAGCUGGACACUGUUGUGUAAGAAUGUGAAGCUUGGCACUGCUGCAGCCAUCUUGUUCCAGGAAGGGUAAAACCUGAGGUUAGAAGCCAACAUCCUAAUGAUGGCAGAGAAGACAAAGAGAACCAGAGUCUAAAUGACAUUGUUGAGUUAGAUCACUACACUACCUCUAGUCUUCUUUUUAUGUGUGAUAAUAAAUCUCACUUAUACUUAAGCCAUUUGAAGUUGAGUCUAAUGUUCAUUUCAGACCAAAGCAGCUUAACUGACAUGUUCUCCGCUUUGUUACCCUAUCCAGUUGUUUUCAUGCAGGAAAUAAAUCUCAAAU
rnacentral:lncRNA from 1 species